ensembl:snoRNA
CCCUCCUACAAGGGCGUGUCUCUUGUUUGCUGUCUUGGGACAGGUAAGAAUUGGAGGCAAAGAAAUGAGGAUUCGGAGACACCUGGGGCCAGCUUACUUCCCAGGCUCAAGAUUAACUGACCCAAGUAA